UUCCCUCAGGUUCCGGCGGUGUCUCAGGCAGGGGUCCUGCCGCUCCUGGGCCCUUCCCCACGGGAGCCCAGAGGCCUUAUACAGUUUCCUCUUGGGCCAGGGAUGUGGGCAGGGGUGGGCAGUGUUGGUGGUCUCUUCCGCUCUGCAGCCUCAGGGGUGCCCACCUGAUCAGGCGGUGAGGUCUCUUUCCCACAGGGUCUGGGAGCAGAGAGCUGCUGCGGGCCGGGAUCCGCGGGCGUGGGACCUCCGGCAAACACAGGACGUGCCCGGUCCUAGAUGAACUCUGCCUCUGUGUGUCCCGAUCUCACCAGGCAGCUCUCUUGCAGCAGACAAGUUGGUCUUACCUGUGGUCCCGAGGCUCAAGUUUGUUCGCGGGGUGCUGCCCAAGGGCUCUCUGCGGCGGCAGCAACCAGGAAGACCACCAUUCGUCGAUCUUAAGGAUGAGAGACUGGAACAGUUCAGUGGCUUCCCAAGGUCACACAAUGAGUGAGUGUGGGGGGAGUCUCCAUGCUGAGGUUCCCAUCCUUGGGUAUAGAUCAGGCUCUGUAAUGUGAUUCUAUGAAGUGUUAAGGUCUUCUAAUGUGGGGGUCACAGGAGACAUUCUAGGGUGUGCUUGGCAGCCUAUUUUCAGGUACAGCGAGAACAUUGGCUUCAUCUAUUUUUAUUAAGAGGCUUGUGUGGCUCAGGUUGCCCUCAGACUUGCUGUAUACCUGAGGAUGGUCUCAAACUUUUGAUCCUCUUGCAUCCACAUCCUGAGUGCUGGGAUGACAGGGCAUGACUCACUGUCCUGAUUUAUGUGACGCUGUGGAUCAAACCCAAGCUUCAGUGUGAUAAGAAAACACUACUGAGCUACAUUUCUGUCCCUGCUUCGCCCUACAAAUGCCAAUCACGGAGGCCACAUCUCAGGCCAUCACAAGUGUUUCCCUGGAGAGAGAGGACUGUGGGAACUUGGAACAGAAGAGCUCUUUAUUAUUCAGAAUAACUGCACUAUUUAAUUUACUAUUAAUAACAGCUCUCCAGUCAACCUUUUCUUAAGAAGUGAGAACCAGAGAGAUGCCCCUCUCUUCCCGCGCCUCCUCCCUUCUUUUCACAGAGUACUGUGGACUCAGUCACGAGAGCAUGAGCUGUUUGGGGGGUUGGUGUGGGCGAGAUGGAGGCUCAGAUGAUACAGCCAGCCCAGCUACCUUCCUCCUACAGAGCUUGCUUUGUUGUUCCUUCCUGGUUGUGAGGGGAGCAUGGGUGUCCUGUAGGCUGAGCAGGAAGGCCAAGGGCUGAUCUGGAAGUGACACUGAGUUUAAAGCUGAGAGAGGGCUGUUGACAGCCAUCUUUUCCCUCCUAAACCCAAAGGUGAUGUGCACACAGGGGCCACAGGCAACAGAAGACUGAAGGAGCUAGGGUUCUUUUGGGAAAUCAUGCUCUAUCCUGGCUCUACUAAAGGCCCAGUAUAAGAAGGAAUAUUUCCAGAGAGGAACAGAGCCUUUGAGGAGAACUGACCCCAAGCCAGGCAAAUACUUGACCAAACAGUCAGAAGACUCACAGGGACCAAGAAUAAUGGUAUCUGAGUGGGAUACCUGUCCAUUUCACCUAGGGCUCCACUCAAGACCUUAUUGUCUAGGUGUUGGGAACAUGUGGAGCUCCCAACUGGCAAAGUAUAGUUGCUACCACCAUAGGACAGUGUUGGGGCAGUCACUGUGUCUGGAUGGACAUCUUGAGGGUGAAGCAGAGAUUCUUCUGCAGGGCUGAACUUGGCCCUUACAUAUUUAUUUAAGGUGGCACCCCAGCUCUCAGUAAUGAUUGAGCUUGGCUCAGUUCUCCACAUUCUAGCCUCAGUGUGAUCUUGGAGUUGCUGUUAGCAUCCCGCCUCAUGCCUCAUGUCCUCUCAUUCCUGGGCUGUAGUCAAGCAUCCUCAUAUCCUCUGUUUUGGACCCCUCCUUGCCCUGGCCAUCUGUAGAGUGGGUGAAUCCUAGACACCCUUAGGAGGGGGUUGAAGAGUGUUCUGUCACACCAUGCCGUGGGCUGGUUUCAGUCUGCUUGAUGUAACAGUAGCUUUUUUUUUCCAAGCCAGAGCCAGGUUUCAUAUACCUGCACACACACACACACACACACACACACACACACACACACACACACACACACACACAUUCCUAAGUAUACAUGCUACCAAACAGGAAGCCUGGCUCAUUGUGAGGCCUCACUCUUUAUUCAAGGAGCAGUCUUGGGUGUCUGAAUGGAUGCUUGAAGACUCCGUCUUUGCAAUUAACACACUGCUGCAGUAUUAUUAGCCUCUGAUAGGCAGGUCUGCCUUCGCCAGAGACUAUAAAUACGUGGGGCCAAUGACUCAGCAAAUCUGUUGCUAUUUUUCUUGCAGGUCCGUGUGGAUCUGUGUCUGUGUACACCAUGGCCCCAUCUCCCUGCAGCUCCCAUGGCUAGUAACCAUGGAAACACAGUCCUCCCCAAUACCAUACUCUGCUGACAAACACUGGGAGUCCCCCCAGCCCGCUUCCCACCUCAGGGAAGUAGCAUGGACCUCACCAGUUCCCAGUAAGCAAGGGAUGGUGGGAUGAAGAAGGUGAACAUUUGCUCUAGGGCUUUGAAGGCCCAGGCCAGGCCUCUAAGCCCUUCCAUUGCCAAUCUAUGGUCAAGGCCUUGUUACUUGCCUAAGGUGAGUGCUCUGUGUCCUAGUGUAAUUGAGGGUGGCAGGGCAGUUCACAAAUGCUGUGGACAGUGUGGCAGGGGAGCUGGGGAUCAGGUGUAGCAGUGGUAAUAGGGAUUGAGGUUAAUCAAUGUGGGGUAAACACUUGGAGCCUUGUUUCUCUGUUGAGAGAAGCUAUGGAAGAGAGAGUUCUAUUCCUUCCUCUCUUUCUUCACUCUGUCCCUCCUUUCAUCCCUCCAUCCCUCUAUUCCUUCCACAAAUGUUCUCAUUCACACUUACUUGUGUUUGUGCCUGGCCCUGUGCUGGGUGUGGCUCCUAGGGAUAAAUCAGAUAAAUCAGUUAGAGCCUUUGCAUUUGGGACUUGUUAGCUUGGAAACAAGAGAGUUCCUUGAAUGAUGCUCAGGAAUCCUGGAGAUCAAGGCAGAAUAGAGCAGUAGGCAUAAGAGUGUGACUUUCUAGAGGCCUGAAGUGAAUGAUGUAUGACUGGAGAACAUGGGAUCCACCAGGGUCCACUCUGUUAGGAGGUGCAGUAUUGGGUAUGGGUGUGAGUAGGUAAGAGAUAUCUGAAGUUCUAAUUCUGCCUCGAGUCAGGGACAGCCCUUGAGGAAGCUGCCUAAGUUUUCUGACUUUUAAUGGGGAUGAUGAGAUGACACCUACCUGGUUAGUCUGGGUAAAAAGCAAGAUAACUCUGCUUCCAAAGACAUGAACAAUAUUGUACUAAGAAGAUGCCAGGACUGUUUUUAUAUGUACCCCAAUUUCUUCCUUUCAGAGCCAAAAAGAGAGCUGAACUAGAUGGUAUAUCAAGGCAUUUUCUGUCCUCAGUUUCUCUAUGUUCAAAACAGGAAGAAGCAGCUUUUAACAGAUGGGAAGAUGCAGGCAUGCCAUUCUAGAUGUCUGGUUCAGUGAGACAGAGGCUUCAGCCUGAAUCCUGCUGUGCCCAUGUAGAACAACUUCUACAUGUGGAAUACAUUGCAGUCAUGUUAAAUGCCAUACACAUGCAUACAAGGCCCUUGAUGCUACCCUGCCAACCUAUUAUUUUCCCCACUGUGCAGAUGCAUGAAGUGCAGACUAAAGUUUUGCUGGCUCCACAAAAUGUCUUAGAAAGGUGUUCCCCUUUUCUAGGAUACAAAAGAUUUAAACACAAAUUUAUUCCUUCCUUUCUUUCCUUCUCCACCCCUUCCUCCUCCUCUUUCUUUUUGUAAAUUAAAAUUGACCAGAUAAAGCAGGA